UCUGAAAUGCAUCAGCAGACUUUUUUCUUUGCUGGCUUUGGUUUGAUAAAAAUCUAUCUAUGUCAUCGCCAUUCUGUAAACGAAAAGGAGUAGGCUUACAAUCGUCCUCGGACAAAAAACACUUGACGCUUUGACCUCAAAUCAGGUAGGACUACCCGCUGAACUUAAGCAUAUCAAUAAGCGGAGGAAAAGAAACUAACAAGGAUUCCCGUAGUAACGGCGAGUGAAGUGGGAAAAGCUCAAAUUUGAAAUCUGGCAGCCUAUCUUUGGCUUGUCCGAGUUGUAAUCUAGAGAAGCGUCUUUCCGUUGCUGGACCGUGUACAAGUCUCUUGGAAUAGAGCGUCGUAGAGGGUGAGAAUCCCGUCUUUGACACGGACUGCCAUGCACAUCUGUGAUGCGCUCUCGAAGAGUCGAGUUGUUUGGGAAUGCAGCUCAAAAUGGGUGGUAAAUUCCAUCUAAAGCUAAAUAUUGGCGAGAGACCGAUAGCGAACAAGUACCGUGAGGGAAAGAUGAAAAGAACUUUGGAAAGAGAGUUAAACAGUACGUGAAAUUGUUGAAAGGGAAACGCUUGAAGUCAGUCACGUCGGGCAGGGAUCAACCUUGUAUUUUUUGCUUGGUGCACUCCCUGUUUAUCACCGACGGGUCAGCGUCAAUUUUGACUGUCGGACAAAGUCCAUCGGAAUGUGACAUUUCCUUUGUGAGAUGUGUUAUAGCCUUUGGUCGUAUACGAUGGUUGGGAUUGAGGAACUCGGCACA
rnacentral:rRNA from 1 species